rnacentral:misc_RNA from 1 species
GAUGAAGAACGCAGCGAAAUGCGAUACGUAAUGUGAAUUGCAGAAUUCAGUGAAUCAUCGAGUCUUUGAACGCACAUUGCGCCCCCUGGUAUUCCGGGGGGCAUCCCUGUCCGAGCGUCAUUGCUGCCCUCAAGCACGGCUUGUGUGUUGGGCCUCCGUCCUCCUCCCGGGGGACGGGCCCGAAAGGCAGCGGCGGCACCGCGUCCGGUCCUCGAGCGUAUGGGGCUUCGUCACCCGCUCUUGUAGGCCCGGCCGGCGCUUGCCGACACAUCAAUCUUUUUUCCAGGUUGACCUCGGAUCAGGUAGGGAUACCCGCUGAACUUAAGCAUAUCAAUAAGCGGAGGA